AGCGAACGCUGGCGGCAGGCUUAACACAUGCAAGUCGAGCGGGCAUCCUUGUGGUGUCAGCGGCAGACGGGUGAGUAACGCGUGGGAAGGUGCCCUUCGGUUCGGAAUAACUCAGGGAAACUUGAGCUAAUACCGGAUACGUGCGAGAGCAGAAAGGUUUAUCUGCCGAAGGAUCGGCCCGCGUCUGAUUAGCUAGUUGGUGAGGUUACGGCUCACCAAGGCGACGAUCAGUAGCUGGUCUGAGAGGAUGAUCAGCCACACUGGGACUGAGACACGGCCCAGAGUGCGCAGGGUGGGAGCGGGGGGGAAGAUGGCAGGGGGGGGACAUUCCGGAGCCGGCCGGGCGGGGAGGGGGAUGCGGGCGGUGGGGUUGUAAAGCUCCUGGCCCGGGGACGAGAAUGACGGUAGAGGAGGAAUCCCCCCCGGCUAAGUUCGUGCCAUCGGCCGCGGUAAUAAGAGGAAGAGCAACCGUCUCAUC
rnacentral:rRNA from 1 species